UAAGGAAUAUUGGUCAAUGGGGGGAACCCUGAACCAGCCAUGCCGCGUGCAGGAAGACGGCCCUACGGGUUGUAAACUGCUUUUGCACGGGAAUAACCCUGUAUAUGUAUAUACAGCUGAAUGUACCGUGAGAAUAAGGAUCGGCUAACUCCGUGCCAGCAGCCGCGGUAAUACGGAGGAUCCGAGCGUUAUCCGGAAUUAUUGGGUUUAAAGGGUGCGUAGGCGGCCCGCUAAGUCAGUGGUGAAAGACGGUGGCUCAACCAUCGCAGUGCCGUUGAUACUGGCGGGCUUGAAUGUACUUGGGGCAGGCGGAAUGUGGCAAGUAGCGGUGAAAUGCAUAGAUAUGCCACAGAACACCGAUCGCGAAGGCAGCUUACCAAGGUAUGAUUGACGCUGAGGCACGAAAGCGUGGGGAUCGAACA
rnacentral:rRNA from 1 species